rnacentral:sRNA from 2 species
GCCCCGGCGUAAAAAUACUGACAUUCUGAUAACCAACAGCAUUCGGAGUGAGCCAUUACAGUGUAUGCCUGAAGAGAGAGAGAGAUCGGCAAUUUGGAACCUAAGCCGCUGUCGUCUGAAGCACGUUUCAGUCAUGCUGCUUGCUGUUGGGAUUCAUAUAGGCCCAUAAUGGCGACUGGCCAAAACUCGCGCCGUACAUAUAUCCGAGUCAAAGGCGGUAAAUUGGUGGUUUGUUGAAAGGAGUUAAAAGUCUGAAGAUCGGAUACGCCCUCUCUAACCAACCUCCUUUUUUACGCUGUGUCAAUCCAAAAGCCCAACAAAGAAAUAUCCUCGACGAGGAAACACAUGUAUAUUUACACAAACUACGUAGAGUAGAGGGGAGGAAAGUAUGGUUAACUAUAGAAAAAGAAAAUAUCCGGCAGUCCUAUCACAAAAGGCCCCCUAUUCGAUCACAGAUCCAUGAGAAACAAGGCCAACAGGUAAAAGCAUAAAGCAAAUCACUCAACACAAACAACUCACAAUAAACGAAAAUACGAAAAGAAAAAAAAGAAAAAAAGAGAGAGAGAGAGAUUGACAUAGGAGAGCGUUGUAACUUAAAAUCAAAUACGGUGUAAAAAAGAUGAAGAAAAAGAUGAAAAUAUAGAUAGCAAAACAGGAGAAGAUAACUUUAACAAGCAAAUGCAAUGCAGCUCGCACCAAAGAAAAUAUAUAAUAAUAAACACCAAAACCCCCCAAAGAUUCAUUACAACAUAUCUAGACGGUCAAUUCUCCCCGCCCCAAGGCACUGACAACAACCAAUACCGUUGGUAAUUCGAGAUACGUUCCUUUCCUAUAUAUAAUAAUAGCAAUACAUUUUUUCGUCUCAAUUCUCUUCGUGGCCGACAAGUCGACUGCAGAGGAAAAUACAAAAAAAAGGCGAGAGAGGGAGAAAUAAAGAAGGAGCGAAAUGUUGAAAGGAAUGGAAAACCUUACAAAUGCAC